ACGCUCGACACCUACGGGAGGUAGCAGUUGGGAAUAUUGGACAAUGGAGGAAACUCUGAUCCAGUGACGCCGCGUGAAGGAAGAAGGUCUUCGGAUUGUAAACUUAUUUUGUCAGGGAAGAAAAAAUAGACUGUACCUGAAGAAAAAGACACCGGCUAACUACGUGCCAUCAGCCGCGGUAAUCUGAGCGGGCUGGCAAGGC
rnacentral:rRNA from 1 species